UACGGAGGGUGCAAACGUUGCUCGGAAUCAUUGGGCGUAAAGCGCGCGUAGGCGGCUUGACAAGUUGGAUGUGAAAGCCCUGGGCUCAACCCAGGAUGUGCAUUCAAAACUGUCUGGCUUGAAUCUCGGAGGGGGUCAGGGAAUUCCCGGUGUAGAGGUGAAAUUCGUAGAUAUCAGGAGGAACACCGGUGGCGAAAGCGGCUCCCUGGCCCGAUACUGACGCUCAUGUUCGAAAGCGUGGGGAGCAAACAGG
rnacentral:rRNA from 1 species